AGGCUGACUUCCAAAACGUCAAUUGCUUUGUAUACGUACAAAGGGUAAGGUUCCAUAACGUCGAUCUACAAAAUAUUGAGAAUGUAUACUGUUCCAAAACGCAGCCGAAAAGUUAUGGAAAGCAUCGCUCGAGCAAUCAGCGCAUCAGAAACAAAGUUGAUGCAUCGUUUGUUAUUGGUUAGCAUUGGUAUAUUAAAUAUUUCAA